rnacentral:rRNA from 1 species
GACAGAGGGUGCAAACGUUGUUCGGAAUUACUGGGCGUAAAGCGCGUGUAGGUGGUGGGGCAAGUCGGAUGUGAAAGCCCAGGGCUCAACCCUGGAAGUGCAUUCGAUACUGCUUCACUGGAGUCCCGGAGAGGAUGGUGGAACUCUCGGUGUAGAGGUGAAAUUCGUAGAUAUCGAGAAGAACACCGGUGGCGAAGGCGGUCUGCUGGGCAGUUGCUGACACUGAGGCGCGACAGCGUGGGGGAGCAAACAGG